rnacentral:rRNA from 1 species
UACGUAGGGGGCGAGCGUUGUCCGGAUUCAUUGGGCGUAAAGAGCUCGUAGGCGGCUUGGCAAGUCGGAUGUGAAAACUCCAGGCUCAACCUGGAGCCGCCAUUCGAUACUGCUAUGGCUAGAGUCCGGUAGGGGAGUGUGGAAUUCCCGGUGUAGCGGUGAAAUGCGCAGAUAUCGGGAAGAACACCCGUGGCUAAGGCGGCUCUCUAGUACGGUACUGACGCUGAGACGCGAAAGCGUGGGGAGCGAACAGG